GUUAACCCAAUCAGAAAAUAAGUCACUA
rnacentral:piRNA from 1 species